UACAGAGGUCUCAAGCGUUGUUCGGAUUCAUUGGGCGUAAAGGGUGCGUAGGCGGCGCGGUAAGUCGGGUGUGAAAUCUUGGAGCUUAACUCCGAAACUGCAUUCGAUACUGCCGUGCUUGAGGACUGGAGAGGAGACUGGAAUUUACGGUGUAGCGGUGAAAUGCGUAGAUAUCGUAAGGAAGACCAGUGGCGAAGGCGGGUCUCUGGACAGUUCCUGACGCUGAAGCACGAAGGCCAGGGGGAGCAAACGGG
rnacentral:rRNA from 1 species